UACGGAGGAUCCAAGCGUUAUCCGGAUUUAUUGGGUUUAAAGGGUGCGUAGGUGGCCUAUUAAGUCAGGGGUGAAAGACGGUAGCUUAACUAUCGCAGUGCCUUUGAUACUGAUGGGCUUGAGUACAGAUGAGGUAGGCGGAAUUGACGGUGUAGCGGUGAAAUGCAUAGAUAUCGUAAGGAAGACCAGUGGCGAAGGCGAAUCUCUGGACAGUUACUGACACUGAGGCACGAAGGCCAGGGGAGCAAACAGG
rnacentral:rRNA from 1 species